AUUUAUUAGAUACAAACGACUGUAUUUGUCAUAUUUACAAUAAUAUUAAGAUGAUUAUAAUAACACGCCUUAAAAUAUGAUUUCUCGUGUACUUAUUUAAAGAUUCUUUUUGUUUUUUAGAUUUUCCUCGUCCUUUUGUAUUGAAUGUAAAGAACUUAUAAUUUGUGCAUAAUUAGCUAUUUCGAAUUUUAAUCGUCCCACGGUCGUUUUAUCCCGAUCGCAGUAUUAAAAAAGUAGCAAAAAAUAUAUUUGUUAUUUGGUUCGUGAUCAAAUUUGCAAACAUUUUGUUGACGAAAUGUAGAAUAAAUAGCCCCGUAUUUGUAAGUCAAGAAAUCUUUUUACGUAUAGCUUGUAUGAAAAAACAAAAAGUUGAAUAAUAACUUUUAAAAUUUUCAGAAAAAUUAAAAACACCGAAAAAAAGGGCCGAAACAAAACAGUUGUUUGCUUGCGUGGUGCUUAAAAAUAACCGAAUGCGACCACUGCGGCUUAGUGUUCAAAAAUCGAGAAUGCUUGGUAACACACGUCUACUACGCGCACAUAAUGAACGGAGUGAAGGCAACACCCCAGUGUCACGUCUGUAAGAAAAACUUUCCCUACAACUGGCUGGUGUUCCACCAUUUUGUGCACUACCACUUCAAUGAUUUUGUUAACUUGAACGAAUAUCGUCCUGAAUUAAUCUCUUAAAUUUGUAAAAAGUUUUAAUUUUAUUAACGAUUCAUCAUAAAAAUGAUGUUUUAUUAUUUAAUUGUAUCCAUAAGUUUUUGCGAUACGAUAUUUGUGUUCAAACUGCUUAAAUUACUCAAGUGAUUUAUCGAUGUUGAUGACAAUAAAAAAAAUUCUAAAAUUA